CCUACGGGAGGCAGCAGUGAGGAAUAUUGGUCAAUGGGCGAGAGCCUGAACCAGCCAAGUCGCGUGAAGGAUGACGGCCCUACGGGUUUUAAACUUCUUUUGUCAGGGAGCAAUUGGGUCCACGCGUGGGCUUAGCGAGAGUACCUGAAGAAAAAGCAUCGGCUAACUCCGUGCCAGCAGCCGCGGUAAUACGGAGGAUGCGAGCGUUAGCCGGAUUUAUUGGGUUUAAAGGGUGCGUAGGCGGAAUAUCAAGUCAGCGGUAAAAAUUCGGGGCUCAACCCCGUCGUGCCGUUGAAACUGAGGUUCUUGAAUGGGCGAGAAGUAUGGGGAAUGCGUGGUGUAGCGGUGAAAUGCAUAGAUAUCACGGAGGACUCCGAGUGCGAAGGGAGCAUACCGGCGCCCAACUGACGCUGAAGCACGAAAGCGUGGGGAUCGAACAGGAUUUAGAUACCCGAGUAGUC
rnacentral:rRNA from 1 species